AUAGCAGCCAAAUCCAGUCUUUCCAGUCCUCUCUUGCCUCUGUAGCUGUGACUAAAACCUUCACCAGUGACCACUGGGAUUUGUAACAUCCUUUUGCCAGCAACAGAAUCCAGACAGUCAUUAAAUUGGAUAUAAGCAAGACAGGAAUUAAGAAUGGAGAUUGGGUGGUUUAGACCUCCAAUGAAACCAACUGCAGAAAAUCCAGAUUUCCCAGAUGUAAUCUGAGGCCUUGGAGUCUUGGCACAACAAUCACCAGUUGUGCCCUGAAGUAAAUAAAGAAAUGUUGACUGCAAAGGAAAACCAACAUUUGCCUACUCUGAGAGAAGACCCAUGUCUACUCUACUCCAGUGACUUAGAUAUUGCUUUCCUCAAAACUUAUGGAGAUCCAGGUUGCACUUCUGUGCAUGAUCCAGACUUUCAUCUCAGUCACAUCAGAGCUCUUAAUUACCUUCUCCUGGUCAAGCCAUAGUUGCUAAAAUUGCCUGUCCAGUGUUUUCACAGGGAAUGGAAGAAAGUUCUAUACAUACUGUAGUGCCCCUAUUAUCUAGCAGAAACCAUUACUCCUUACGAUAAUCGGGUUGAAUUAUCCCUGCAAAUACAGUAACUGCGUUCUUUGCCUGCUAGUUCACCAACAUGGGGAGUCCAAAGUACCAGAUGAUAACCAUAGCUUCAGUUCAAUAGAACCAUUACUGUAUCCUGUUGGAAGCAUUCACCACCUUAAGAACCACCUUAAAUUCACAGUGUGUUGGAAGCCCGAACUCAAUCAAGUAAAUUGUCUGCAUGAAGGUGAGAAGUAUCAGUUAUAUUUUCACCUCUUGGUUCCUGGAUGGUGCUAUCAGAUGAGAAGCUGCAGGUUUUGUUAAUAUGCUGUAUCCAAAAGGACAACACGCCAAUGACAGACUGCCAUUCCUAAGUUGAUGCUGAAGCUCAAAGAUCAGCAAACUCAGCAAAGGGCCAAAUCUGGCCCACCACCUGUUUUUGUAAAUAAAGUUUUCUUGCAGCACA
rnacentral:lncRNA from 13 species